rnacentral:rRNA from 1 species
UGGGGAAUAUUGCACAAUGGACGGAAGUUUGAUGCAGCGACGCCGCGUGGAGGGUGUAGGCCUUCGGGUUGUGAACUCCUUUUUCUCGCGAAAAAGGCACAGUUUUGGCUGUGUUGAUGGUAGUGGGGGAAGAAGCGCCGGCUAACUACGUGCCAGCAGCCGCGGUAAUACGUAGGGCGCGAGCGUUGUCCGGAUUUAUUGGGCGUAAAGAGCUCGUAGGUGGUUCGUCGCGUCUGUCGUGAAAGCCAGCAGCUUAACUGUUGGUCUGCGGUGGGUACGGGCGGGCUUGAGUGCGGUAGGGGUGACUGGAAUUCCUGGUGUAGCGGUGGAAUGCGCAGAUAUCAGGAGGAACACCGCUGGCGAAGGCAGGUCACUGGGCCGUUACUGACACUGAGGAGCGAAAGCGUGGGGAGCGAACAGG